UUGAUCAUGGCUCAGAUCCAACGCGGUAGGCAGGCCUAACACAUGCAAGUCGAGCGGCAGCACAAGGGAGUUACUCCCGAGGUGGCGAGCGGCGGACGGGUGAGUAAUGCCUAGGGAUCUGCCCAGUCGAGGGGGAUAACAGUUGGAAACGACUGCUAAUACCGCAUACGCCCUACGGGGGAAAGAGGGGGACCUUCGGGCCUCUCGCGAUUGGAUGAACCUAGGUGGGAUUAGCUAGUUGGUGAGGUAAUGGCUCACCAAGGCGACGAUCCCUAGCUGUUCUGAGAGGAUGAUCAGCCACACUGGGACUGAGACACGGCCCAGACUCCUACGGGAGGCAGCACGUGGGGAAUAUUGCACAAUGGGGGAAACCCUGAUGC
rnacentral:rRNA from 1 species